AGUCCCGGCUAACUUCGUGCCAGCAGCCGCGGUAAUACGAAGGGGGCUAGCGUUACUCGGAAUUAUUGGGCGUAAAGCGUGCGUAGGCUGCUUAGUAAGUCAAAAGUGAAAGCCUUGGGCUCAACCUAAGAAUUGCUUUUGAAACUACUAAGCUUGAGUACUGUAGGGGGUAGCGGAAUUCCUAGUGUAGGGGUGAAAUUCGUAGAUAUUAGGAGGAACACCGGAGGCGAAAGCGGUUAUCUGGACAGUCACUGACGCUGUUGCACGAAAGCGUGGGGAGCAAACAGGAUUAGAUACCCUGGUAGUCCACGCUGUAAA
rnacentral:rRNA from 1 species